UGAGGGAUGAAGGCCUUCGGGUUGUAAACCUCUUUCASUAGGGAAGAAGCCUGUCUUUUGGGUGGGUGACGGUACCUGCAGAAGAAGCGCCGGCUAACUACGUGCCAGCAGCCGCGGUAAUACGUAGGGCGCAAGCGUUAUCCGGAAUUAUUGGGCGUAAAGAGCUCGUAGGCGGUUUGUCGCGUCUGCCGUGAAAGUCCGGGGCUUAACUCCGGAUCUGCGGUGGGUACGGGCAGACUAGAGUGCAGUAGGGGAGACUGGAAUUCCUGGUGUAGCGGUGAAAUGCGCAGAUAUCAGGAGGAACACCGAUGGCGAAGGCAGGUCUCUGGGCUGUAACUGACGCUGAGGAGCGAAAGCAUGGGGAGCGAACAGGAUUAGAUACCCUGGUAGUCCAURCCGUAAACGUUGGGCACUAGGUGUGGGGGACAUUCCACGUUUUCCGCGCCGUAGCUAACGCAUUAAGUGCCCCGCCUGGGGAGUACGGCCGCAAGGCUAAAACUCAAAGGAAUUGACGGA
rnacentral:rRNA from 2 species